rnacentral:rRNA from 1 species
UACGGAAGGUCCGGGCGUUAUCCGGAUUUAUUGGGUUUAAAGGGAGCGUAGGCCGUCUGUUAAGCGUGUUGUGAAAUGUCGGGGCUCAACCUGGGCAUUGCAGCGCGAACUGGCAGACUUGAGUGCGUGGGAAGUAGGCGGAAUUCGUCGUGUAGCGGUGAAAUGCUUAGAUAUGACGAAGAACUCCGAUUGCGAAGGCAGCCUGCUGUAGCGUAACUGACGCUGAAGCUCGAAAGCGUGGGUAUCGAACAGG